UACGGAGGGUGCAAGCGUUAUCCGGAUUCACUGGGUUUAAAGGGUGCGUAGGUGGGUAAGUAAGUCAGUGGUGAAAUCUUCGAGCUUAACUCGGAAACUGCCAUUGAUACUAUUUAUCUUGAAUGUCUUGGAGGUGAGCGGAAUAUGUCAUGUAGCGGUGAAAUGCUUAGAUAUGACAUAGAACACCAAUUGCGAAGGCAGCUCACUACACGAUUAAUGACACUGAGGCACGAAAGCGUGGGGAUCAAACAGG
rnacentral:rRNA from 1 species